GGCUCAGAUUGAACGCUGGCGGCAUGCCUUACACAUGCAAGUCGAACGGCAGCACGGGACUUCGGUCUGGUGGCGAGUGGCGAACGGGUGAGUAAUGCAUCGGAACGUGCCAUUGAGUGGGGAUAACGUAGCGAAAGUUGCGCUAAUACCGCAUAUUCUGUGAGCAGGAAAGCAGGGGACCGCAAGGCCUUGCGCUCUUUGAGCGGCCGAUGUCAGAUUAGCUAGUUGGUGAGGUAAAGGCUUACCAAGGCGACGAUCUGUAGCGGGUCUGAGAGGAUGAUCCGCCACACUGGAACUGAGACACGGUCCAGACUCCUACGGGAGGCAGCAGUGGGGAAUUUUGGACAAUGGGGGCAACCCUGAUCCAGCCAUGCCGCGUGAGUGAAGAAGGCCUUCGGGUUGUAAAGCUCUUUCGGCCGGGAAGAAAUCGCAUGAGCCAAUACCCUGUGUGGAUGACGGUACCGGAAUAAGAAGCACCGGCUAACUACGUG
rnacentral:rRNA from 1 species